rfam:Schistocephalus solidus strain NST_G2 genome assembly, scaffold: SSLN_contig0003623
GGCCUCGAAGCUCAGUUGGCUAAGCCGUUGGCUGUACUAAAGCCUUCCCAUUGCUGGCAUGGGUUCGAAUCCCACCGAGGCCG